GCGAGAGUAGCUCAGUUGGUAGAGCGUCAGCCUUCCAAGCUGAGGGUCGCGGGUUCGAAUCCCGUCUCUCGCU
rnacentral:tRNA from 1 species